CUCGCUCAAGAAACUUCCCCCGGGUCUCGGCGGGCGGCGGCGGCGGCGGGCGCGGCCCCCCCCGGCGGGCGCCGGCACCAUGGGAGCGCCUCAGCGAGCGCCCGCCGCGGCGGCACCGGCACUGCCGGGCAUCGCGCUCCCUCCGCCCGGGGCCGGCCCCGACUUGUGAAGCGACAACGACCCAAAACAGCGAGCGAGGGCGGCCGGGCGCGGGGCUGAUCCCGCACCCCUCCCGCGGGGCGGGGCGGGGCGGAGUGGGGCGGGGCGGCCAGGAGGGGAGGGGGAUGGCGGGGACCCCAAUACUCCCUCCCCUCGCCACCAGCAGCACUCACUUGGCUGGCCGCCCACCCGCAGCUUGCUCCGCGCCUGCCCGCCCGGGCGCGGGGCGCUCAGCGGCCGCCGCCGCCUCUUCUUCCUCCUCCUCCUCCUCCUCCUCCUCCUCCUCCUCCUCUCCGCAUGGCCGCCGCGCCCCGCUCGGCAGCUGGCUGCCCGCCCGCCGCGGGAGGAGGGGGUCAGGGCGCGGGGCCGGCGGCGCGCCGAGGAAACAUGGCCGGCGGCGCGGGGGCGGCCCGGCCCGGCCCGGCCCGGCUCGGCGCGUCCCCGGGAGCGCGGCUGCCCGCCCGGCCGCCCCGCAGCCCCGGCCGGCGCCUGUCACUUUCACUGCGCCGCGGGGCUCCGUCUAGGGGAAGGCGGCGGCCACUGCAGCGCGUCCCCCGGCCGUGGCUCGGGGGGUGAUGGGCCCUCCCGGGACGCCCGGGGGCUGCGCCGGGAGGGUGUCCCGCUCCCCCGGGGCGGCCGCGGCGGGGGUCCCGGCCCCGGCCCGCGGCGGUGAGGGCAGGGCUGGCGCCCUCGUUUAUUCCCAAGGAGGCGGCCGGUGAGGCCCGUCUCAGGGAGGAAGGGGGUGGCCGCCUGCGGCCGGCAGGUAGGAACGACGUGGUUUCGAACGGCCGAAGGCGCAGUGGGGCGCACCGUCCCCGGCCAGGUGUGUCCGUCAGGGCAGGGCACACGCGGCGCUGAGCAGCCUGGGCAUAGACACCAGCUGCAGCAAGAGGGAGAACGACUGCUGCGUCUUUUCUUACAAUAAUACAGAUUUCUCUUUUGAGAGACACCUUAGGAAAGAAAACUGUCAAAAUGAGCACAGCACCAUUGGUUUGUUUUAUUUAGGCAUCGUUUGCAUUGACAAAGUACCAGAGAUGGACCCGCAUGCGCAAAGCUGACUUCAGCAGUGACAUUCUGAUCUCUAAGACCCUUGCCAUGCACCCCCUGCCCCUGCCUAGGAGAUGCUGGCUCAGCAUCUGGCUUCGUCGUACAACAGAGGUGGGACCAAAGCCGUGCAAGUCAGUGUUGUGAGAGUUUCACAAUCAUUUGGUGGUUCCCGUUUUUGUCCAUUCCAAACAGCAUAUUGAAAGUCCUCUGCUUUCUGAGUGUGAUGCUCUGGAGCCAGGCCCAGAAGACAAAAUGGUGGAGACUCAAGACUGAGCAGUAGUUCCCAUACCAGAACAGACCACCUGCUCCCCAUGUACCUGACAUGUUUGAUGUGUCAUCAUUUUGACACGUUAAGCAAUUUGAAUUACUGAGGAGCCAAAUACAG